rnacentral:rRNA from 1 species
UACGUAGGGUGCAAGCGUUGUCCGGAAUUAUUGGGCGUAAAGAGCUCGUAGGCGGUCUGUUACGUCUGCUGUGAAAACCCAGGGCUUAACCCUGGGCUUGCAGUGGAUACGGGCAGACUAGAGGCAGGUAGGGGAGAAUGGAAUUCCUGGUGUAGCGGUGAAAUGCGCAGAUAUCAGGAGGAACACCCGUGGCGAAAGCGGCUCUCUGGGACGGUACUGACGCUGAGACGCGAAAGCGUGGGGAGCAAACAGG